AUCUUUCUAGUACAAACAGUAUAAAUGACCUCCAAUCAUUUGAUUUUGGUUACAACCCAAAGAAAGAUA
rnacentral:tRNA from 1 species